rnacentral:rRNA from 1 species
CCUACGGGUGGCAGCAGUGAGGAAUAUUGGUCAAUGGGCGCGAGCCUGAACCAGCCAAGUCGCGUGAGGGAAGACGGUCCUAUGGAUUGUAAACCUCUUUUGUCGGGGAGCAAAAGACGCCACGCGUGGCGUUCCGAGAGUACCCGAAGAAAAAGCAUCGGCUAACUCCGUGCCAGCAGCCGCGGUAAUACGGAGGAUGCGAGCGUUAUCCGGAUUUAUUGGGUUUAAAGGGUGCGUAGGCGGUCGGAUAAGUUAGAGGUGAAAUCCCGAGGCUCAACUUCGGAAUUGCCUCUGAUACUGUUCGGCUAGAGAGUAGUUGCGGUAGGCGGAAUGUAUGGUGUAGCGGUGAAAUGCUUAGAUAUACGGAGGAACACCAGUGGCGAAGGCGGAUUGCUGGACAGUAACUGACGCUGAGGCGCGAAAGCGUGGGGAGCAAACAGGAUUAGAUACCCUUGUAGUC